rnacentral:rRNA from 1 species
UACGGAGGGUGCAAGCAUUAAUCGGAUUUAUUGGGCGUAAAGGGCGCGUAGGCGGGCUUUUAAGUCAGAUGUGAAAUCCCGAGGCUCAACCUCGGAACAGCAUUUGAAACUGAAAGUCUAGAGGGUAGAAGGAGAGAAUGGAAUUCCACAAGUAGCGGUGAAAUGCGUAGAUAUGUGGAAGAACACCGGUGGCGAAGGCGAUUCUCUAUUUUAUUCCUGACGCUGAGGCGCGAAAGUAAGGGGAUCAAACAGG